rnacentral:rRNA from 1 species
CCUACGGGAGGCAGCAGUGAGGAAUAUUGGUCAAUGGACGCGAGCCUGAACCAGCCACGUAGCGUGAAGGAUGACUGCCCUAUGGUUUGUAACCUUCUUUUAUACAGGCAUAAAACGCGGCGCGUGUGCCUUUUUGCAUGAACUUUAUGAAUAAGGCUCGGCGAACUCCGUGCCAGCAGCCGCGGUAAUACCGAGGAUCCGAGCGUUAUACGGAUUUAUUGGGUUUAAAGGGAGCGUAGUCGGGUGCUUAAGUCAGUUGUGAAAGUUGGCGGCUCAACCGUAAGAUUGCAAUUGAUACUGGCAGUCUUGAGGACAGUAGAGGUAGGCGGAAUUCGUAGUGUAGCGGUGAAAUGCGUAGAUAUCACGAAGAACCCCGAUUGCGAAGGCAGCUUGCUAAACUGUAACUGACGCUGAUGCGCGAAAGUGUGGGGAGCAAACAGGAUUAGAUACCCCAGUAGUC